rnacentral:tRNA from 1 species
UAGCUCACUUGAUUAGAGCAUGGUGCUGAUAACACCAAGGUCGCGGGUUCGAUCCCCAU